AGAGGAAUAGCUGGGUCAAAUGGCGGUUCCAUUCCCAGCUUUUCAAGGAAUCUCCUUAUUGCUUUCCAAAUUGGCUGCACUAAUUUGCGGUCCCACCAGCAAU
rnacentral:pre_miRNA from 1 species